GCAGUUUCUACUAGAUCCGAGUUGCUUGGUCGUGUUUAAGAUAAAUAAAAAGGAUUGGAUAUCUGCCGCUCCUCUGUCUCCUCCCUGGCUUCCUGCUGCUCCUAUAUUGUGUCGUACUCGUACAUGGCAGACUCUCACCUUAAAGGCUCGGGUGGGUCCUCGGCAUCAUCAAGAUAGUCCAACCCAACCAGAGUGACACCCAUUGGUCAUCCACAAGUCUGCUCCUCCCUGUCAAGCACGCAGGCAAGCGAUUUCUCUCUUCCCAUUGAUUUCCCUCGAUUUAAUUACCUUAGUAGUUAGUACGUCCAAAAAAAAAAUCCCUUCUUCUCAUCUCAUCUGUGCAGCCUCUACUAGAUUCAAGUUGCUCGGUUGUUUUUGAAGAUAAAAAAGGUAAGGUUUUUUUUUGUUAGGAUUUUGACUUAUGCUCCUGUCUUGUCAUUUUCCCAAGAUUCAGAUGUUAAGGCCUUUUUUAGUUGCCAAAUUCAAAAUUCUAAAAUUAUCACAUCGAAUGAGAAUCUUACAUGUAUGAAGUAUUAAAUCUAUACGAAAAAAAACUAAUUGCAUAGUUUGCUUGUAAAUUGCAAGACGAAUCUA